CAGAAUCCCAAAGCUGCUGGUCCCAGGAGGGUGUGCUUCAACAAAGACUGGGAAUUUCUGCGGUGUACCAGCAGGCACUGCCUGCACUGAAACAUCCACGUCACUGUUGUUUUUAGAGAACUUUUCAGCUGAGCAUUUGCUGUGAAAAGACUGGGAAAGUGUCAUCAGCCUGUUGCCUUGAUUGAACUGUGGAAAAUUAGGCAGAGGUACAAAACCGCAGGAUACGGCUUGCUUGUUGCUAAGUAGCAAUCAACAAAUUCUUUUAAAAUGAGGACUAUUGUAUAAAGGUUUAAGCACUUUCCUCUCAUUUAUUUGGGAACAAGUUUUACUGAGCUCUACAACCAUUUAAACUGUACUAUAAAAUGUUUUCAUGUC